rnacentral:rRNA from 1 species
CUUUUGCUGGCGACCGGCGCACGGGUGAGUAACACGUAUCCAACCUGCCCUUUACUCGGGGAUAGCCUUUCGAAAGAAAGAUUAAUACCCGAUAGCAUAAUGAUUCCGCAUGGUUUCAUUAUUAAAGGAUUCCGGUAAAGGAUGGGGAUGCGUUCCAUUAGGUUGUUGGUGAGGCAACGGCUCACCAAGCCUUCGAUGGAUAGGGGUUCUGAGAGGAAGGUCCCCCACAUUGGAACUGAGACACGGUCCAA